AUGUACCCACGUACACUCCGGUUCCUCCGCGCCAUCCACACCCACCUGACGACUGCUCGCUACGUUUCUUAGCC
rnacentral:sRNA from 1 species